GGAGAAAGUUGUAAGAAAAUGAUAGCUGCUGCCUAAUAUUCAGUUAUAUCCAUUAUUGAACUAAAUGCAAAAAUAAAAUAUGGGGGCUGGAGAGAUGGAUGCCCAGUUAAGAGCACCAGCUGCUCUUCCAGAGGACACAUGGAAGCUCACAGCCGUCUAGCUCCAUUUUCAGAGGAUCAUAUGCCCUCUUCUGUCCAAGGGCAUCACUCCACCACAGAAAAAAAAAAGGCAAAGAAAAAGCUCAGCUGGAGGUGGCAGUGCAUACUUGUAAUCCUGCCACUCUGGAAGUAAAAAGAGGAUCAGGGUCUAAGACCAACCUGGUCUACAGAGUGAAUUCCAGACCAGCAAGGCUAUAUAGGAAGACCUUGUCUAAAAAAGAAAGAAACAAACAAACAAACAAAGAACCAUCCAAAACAAAAACAGCAACAACAAAAUAUAAACCAAGAAAGAGAAAAGGGAGAGGGGAGAGGAGAGAGCUAGCUCAGGUCCACCAUUUUCACGUUAGAGUCACCCAACUCUACUUAUGCAUUCAAAGCUUACCCUUACAUUGUACAAAAUGUUUUAUUUAGAUGAUAUAUUUAAACAGUAGAUAUCACUGUUGUAAAUAGGAAAUUAAUAUCACUUGGCAUUAAGUAGAAGUGACUCACUGAAAAGUCUACGAAUAUGAAGAACAUUAAUGUCUAGCUGGGGAUAGGUUUUCCCUUGGAAGCUUUAAAGGGGUCUUAAAGGGGCAUGUGGGGGGGCACUGCCAAUGUAGUCUCUCUUGACAAAAGUCAAAUAUAUUGAAAAAAAUAACAUCCCCACUAAGAUUCAAUGUCAUUUGGUGUUAUGUCCCUGUCUUCUUCCAAGAGAACCCUUACGGAAUCCAAAUCCUCCACUCAUGUCCAGACCUUAUAGCUUCCUAAACGAACACUUCUCUGGCUCUCUCUUCUAACCUUAAACAAAAGGAACAGGUUUCAUUAUCCAAUAAAGUAGUGAAAGCCUUAGGUCUCAACUACUCAGAGAACUGAUCUCAAAAAACAUCAAAAUGACUAAUCCCUCAAGUCCAAGGCCACUUUGUUCCCACUACAGGAAUUGAGAACACUGACAAUAAAAAGGAUAAUGUUGGUAACUUUUCUUCCAAGCCACUUACUUGGCAAACACCUUAGUAGACAUUCAAAUGGCUGGUGUCUGAUUCCUAUUAUAAAGGGUGACUUUUCCUCACUGUCCCCAAGGCUGAAGGGUUCCCAGAAGGGUCACACUACUGAAUGUCUGAAUGUGUGGCCUCAGAGACAGCCAGUGAAUACUCAGGUUGCUCCUGACUUAGUUUCAAGUUGGGUCACCUUCAAAGCCUCAGCACUUUAGUUCUUAGGAAGCUUUUGGACAGGUGAAGAACUUUGAGAAGUCUGGGCUGCAGAGGCCUGUGGCUGUUGAGUCUGGGUAAUCCCAGAUUGAACCCCCUUGGCCAAAAUAUGGCUCUUAGAAGCUUUAUCAGUUUCAGGAGUUUGAGAGGCAGGAGGAAGAUUCUGGAGAUGGCUUUGUUGGGCUAGAGAUCCCUGGAUUUGGCUCUGAGAGGUCAUGGGUACCAUAGGGAAACUGUCAGAGGGCACAGGAACUAGGAGGUGGCUCUGGCUUUCAGUUCGUUCCAGAGGGUAGAUCCGAGAGGCCACGCUGAUCUUAGAGCGCCCGUGAGAGUGAGGAUCCACAGGCACAUGGCUUUCAGAGAAUACAGAGAAGUGGAGGUGGCUCUGAGAAGUCAUGGGUACCCUAGAUAGGCUGUCAGAGAUCACCAGGAGGUGGCUCUGACUUUUUGUUCGUUCCAGAGGGUAGUAGCUCUGAGAGGCUACACUGAUCUUAGAGUUCUCCUGAGCGUGAUGGUCCACAGGCACAGACACAUAGCUGUCAGAGGACUGGAGGUGGCUCUGAGAGAUCACAGAGAAACUUUCAGAGGACAUGGGCACCAGGAGGUGGCUCUGACUUUCUACCCGUUCCAGAGGGUAGGUCCGAGAGGCCACACUGAUCUUAGAGCGCUGCUGAGGGUGAGAAUCCACAGGCACAUUGCUGUCAGAGGACAAAGCCAUGUGAGAAUUGCUGUCAGACGCCAGAGGGUAGCUCUGCGAGGUCAUCGAAAAGACAGGUUGGCUCCUAGAAGUACAAAUGGAGAGAGGGGUAUGAAUAGUGACCAGAGGCAGGCUCUUAGAGGCCUGGGCUGUGCCAAACUGGUUCAGAACAGACUUCGCUGGACGGAACGACGCUCUGCCACCCGCGCUUCUGGCGUCGCGGUUCCUUUCUAGCUGGCUCGGGUCGCUAGAGCUGAUGCUACUGAUCAUCUGGAGGACCCGCGGGUGGAGUCGCCGCCGCCGCCGCCGGCGGAUCCGCUGAAAGGUGUUGGAGACGCUCCUAAGGGUCAGCGAGAAGCGACGGCUGCCGCUGCGGUGCACCCCGCCAUCGCGGGGCGAAGUCCCCCUCAAGGGGUCUUCCGGGAGCGCCUCAAUGUUGCCAGUGUACCAGGAGAUCCACCACAGGAGACUGACGAAGAUAAUGAUGGAACCCAGAUAGAGCAGCAUGUCGUAAAACAGCAAGUUGGCGAAGACACCAGUGAACAGCACUGCCACACCCACAGCGUCGAAGGCGACACCCAGCCAAAAAAAGUGACUGCAGCGACCCAGGGGCCCCGACCGCAUCUCCGCCAAGUCUGCGCUCUUCUGGGAAAGCUCCG
ensembl:lncRNA